rfam:Candidatus Methanoplasma termitum strain MpT1, complete genome.
UAUGACGGUCAAAGCGGCGGGGUGACACCCGGUCCCAUUUCGAACCCGGCAGUAAAGUCCGCCCGCGUAUCUACCUGUACUGUAUUGCGCAAGCAUACGGGAACCUAGACACGCUGUCAACC